UACGGGGGGGGCAAGCGUUGUUCGGAAUUACUGGGCGUAAAGGGCUCGUAGGCGGCCAACUAAGUCGGACGUGAAAUCCCUCGGCUUAACUGGGGAACUGCGUCCGAUACUGGAUGGCUUGAGUUCGGGAGAGGGAUGUGGAAUUCCGGGUGUAGCGGUGAAAUGCGUAGAUAUCCGGAGGAACACCGGUGGCGAAGGCGGCUUCCUGGACCGACACUGACGCUGAGGCGCGAAAGCUAGGGGAGCAAACGGG
rnacentral:rRNA from 1 species